AUUGAACGCUGGCGGCAGGCCUAACACAUGCAAGUCGAGCGAGCGGCGGACGGGUGAGUAAUGUAUGGGGACUGCCCGAUAGAGGGGGCUCACUACUGGAAACGGUAGCUAAUACCGCAUACUAUCGGAUAACCCAUAUGGGAUUAGCUAGUAGGUGAGGUAAUGGCUCACCUAGGAAACGAUCCCUAGCUGGUCUGAGAGGAUGAUCAUCCACAAUGGGACUGAGACACGGCCCAGACUCCUUCGGAGGUAGCAGUGGGGAAUAUUGCACAAUGGGCGCAAGCCGGAUGCAGCCAUGCCGCGGGUAUGAAGAAGGCCCUAGGGUUGUAAAGUACUUUCAGUCGGGAGGCGUUACCGACAGAAGAAGCACCGGCGAACUCCGUGCCAGCCGCCGCGGUAAUAC
rnacentral:rRNA from 1 species